UGGCUUGGCAAAUAGGGAAGUGUCAGCGCUAAAUCAGCUUUACUCUAAGGGCACGGUACGCCUGUGUUUCUCAACCGAGUGAUACCCAAAUCCAGGACCAUUUUACUUCAAGUGGAAUACACACACAGAGCAAACAUUCUCAAGUCUUACAAAGUGGCCAGACCUCAUCCAAUUGGCUGAAGAUCCACCUAAGAGGACUGAAUGCGCGAUCCUGCUGCAAGAAGCAUGGUGGACGCCUACCCAGUGGGUUAGAAGAGGUUGAGCAACACAAGUCUUCCAUACCAGGUGACUUAAAGACAACAGUGAGGAUAUCCAUAUUCUGGAGGUUGGAUCUCUGGGAAAGCUGGUCACUGGCUUCUGCCUGGCAUGAAGGGUACAGAAGUAUGCAACAGCUUGCUGUGGGAUCUCAGUUCCUAGAGCAAGUAUCGAAUCUGGACUACAGCAGUGAAAGCACUAAGUUCUAACCACUAGGCCACCAGAGAACUUCCCAAAUACUGAAUUCUUACGUACACUGGAGGCAGAACAUAUGUGAGUGUCUCAGCUCAACAACAGAAGAUGAAGAACCUUCCUGUUACUGUAAUACAGCUUUAAGAAGUACUUCUACAGCAAUAGAACUGGAAUCCAGAGCAACUAGUUGCAGUAAAAUGCAUCUACUGCAGAAGACCUCAAUAAUGCAUAAGAACAUCUGGAAGUACGGUAAUUUCAGCUAUCAGAGAUAAGAAUUGACACAGAACAGGUAAACCCUACAAAGUCAUCAUGUUGAAAUGAACUGAUUAAGGUUUAGUAACAUAAAACAUCAUGUAUAGUGUUUCCAUGCUUGCUACAUCUUGCUAUUUUAUAUUAAAAGAGGAAUGUCAAUUAUAUAUAUUUAAUAGGUUGAUUAGCUGGUAGCAAUAUUAUAUUUUACAUAAAGAGACAGAAAUGUCUGCAGAUCUAUUGCCAUACACAUCUAUUUAGAAUUAACUGUGAGUUCAUAGAAAAUACAUGGGCAUAGUAAACAGGGUUUUGAAAUGACAAUUUUUUACUGGUUGCAAGUGCUAAUUGCUAGUUUCUCAAGGGUAUAGAAUUAAUCACCUGCUAGAUUUACAGUCUCUAGGUUGAGACCUUAGGAUGGAGGCAAUAAGAAAAGCUCUUGAGGGACAUAUCAUAUGGUGAGUCUAAAUAUCAGUCUCUAUGCAUAUGUAAAUUGGUAACAAAGUUUUUUCAAAGCUCAAGUAUGCUAAUUUCAAACAGGCAAGACUAAAGCUAGCUUUUACCAGCUGUUUAACGUCUGCCUGUGGGUGGUAGAGAGAGCUUAAAAUACAAGCAAACAGUGGUGCAUAAGUAAUUAAGCAACAUUUUGCUGGGCAUAAAUAAUUCUGUUUAUAUUGCUCUUUUGAAGAGUAUAGAAUACAAAAUAACAGAUCAAGUGCACCUUUGGUCACCAGAGGUUAACUGUUCCUCCUCUUUACCUUUUCUUUGGUUUUACAAUUUAAGGGGAAUAAAUACAAAGUCAGUCUUUUAAAACUUCAUAGGAAAUAAAAUUAUUUAAGGUGAGAAAAACCCUAUUAUAUAAUCAUUUCACUUAGAGGUCAACUACAUUGUUUUCAGCAUAUUCCUCUAGUAAUCUAUUGUAAGAAAAUAUAUUAUCUAAUCGAAGAUUUGUUUAUUAACAUUUCUUUUAGAGUUAUUAAAAGUGGUUUAUUGGGAUGUUUGUUAAAAUUUUAAAAAAAUCAAACUUUUUUCAAAGUCUACAAAAAAGAAAAUGCCUCAAUUUUUCAGAACCCAUUUUAAUUAUCCCGUACAUUAAAAAUAUCACCAUGCUGUACAGUAGAAAAUUGACAGAACACUAUAAACUAGCUCUAAUGAAAAAGAAAAUCAUAAAUAAAUAAAUAAAUAAAUAAAUAAAUAAAUAAAUAAUUCUCUCAGAGGUCACUGCCUAAAAAUAAUGAAUGCUUAAUUCAAUAUACCACAUAUAGGGUAAUCACCUAAUUGGAACAGCUCUUGCUAAGCCAGUAGAAAUGUCUAAAAGCAAAAGGAAAGCUGGUAUAAAAAAAAGUGCAUUUGAUUCAAUAAAAACCUUGAAAUUGACCAGGAGGAAGAUGAAAGAUUUAACACGAUUUGGAAACACCUAGUCUGGAAAAAAGGAUUAUAGAUACUAACUGUGAAAAGAGUCAGGGGUUUAAACUUUGUUUUCGUUAAAUAUUCAUGGUUUAAGGAGUUAAUGGUAAAAGGAAGUACUCAGUUGGGUAUCAGAUAUUAUA